CACCUGUCCAACCGCUCGUUAACACUUAAUUUCUAAUCAGCCAAUCACAUGGCGGCAACUUAGUGCAUUUAGGCAUGUAGACAUGGUCAAGACAAUCUCCUGCAGUUCAAACCGAGCAUCAGUAUGGGGAAGAAAGGUGAUUUGAGUGACUUUGAACGUGGCAUGGUUGUUGGUGCCAGAAGGGCUGGUCUGAAUAUUUCAGAAACUGCUGAUCUACUGGGAUUUUCACGCACAACCAUCUCUAGGGUUUACAGAGAAUGGUCCGAAAAAGAAAAAAUAUCCAGUGAGCGGCAGUUCUGUGGGUGGAAAUGCCUUGUUGAUGCCAGAGGUCAGAGGAUAAUGGCCAGACUGGUUCGAGCUGAUAGAAAGGCAACAGUGACUCAAAUAACCACCCGUUACAGCCAAGGUAGGCAGAAGAGCAUCUCUGAACGCACAGUACGUCGAACUUUGAGGCAGAUGGGCUACAGCAGCAGAAGACCAUGCCGGGUGCCACUCCUUUCAGCUAAGAACAGGAAACUGAGGCUACAAUUUGCACAAGCUCAUCGAAAUUGGACAAUAGAAGAUUGGAAAAACGUUGCCUGGUCUGAUGAGUCUCGAUUUCUGCUGCGACAUUCGGAUGGUAGGGUCAGAAUUUGGCGUCAACAACAUGAAAGCAUGGAUCCAUCCAGCCUUGUAUCAACGGUUCAGGCUGGUGGUGGUGGUGUCAUGGUGUGGGGAAUAUUUUCUUGGCACUCUUUGGGCCCCUUGGUACCAAUUGAGCAUCGUUGCAACGCCACAGCCUACCUGAUUAUUGUUGCUGACCAUGUCCAUCCCUUUAUGACCACAAUGUACCCAACUUCUGAUGGCUACUUUCAGCAGGAUAAUGCGCCAUGUCAUAAAGCUGGAAUCAUCUCAGACUGGUUUCUUGAACAUGACAAUGAGUUCACUGUACUCAAAUGGCCUCCACAGUCACCAGAUCUCAAUCAAAUAGAGCAUCUUUGGGAUGUGGUGGAACGGGAGAUUCGCAUCAUGGAUGUGCAGCCGACAAAUCUGCGGCAACUGUGUGAUGCCAUCAUGUCAAUAUGGACCAAGCUCUCUGAGGAAUGCUUCCAGCACCUUGUUGAAUCUAUGCCACGAAGAAUUGAGGCAGUUCUGAAGGCAAAAGGGGGUCCAACCCGUUACUAGCAUGGUGUACCUAAUAAAGUGGCCGGUGAGUGUAUCUGACUGUUGUCAGCAUUACAGUGUAAAGAGAUGCCAUGCUUUCUCAGGAUGGAGCCCAGGGGCAGUAAAUACAAAGAAAAAAGCAAGGGUCCUAAAAUCGACCCCUCUAGGACCCUGUACGGCAGUGGAGCAGAGCUGGACUCUGAACCUCCAAGGCUUACAUUCAUACUCCUAUCAGCCAGAUAUGAUUUGAACCACCCCAGUGCAGUACCACAGAUACCUAUUAAGUGACAUAGCCAAGCCACAAGGGUAUUGUGGUCCACAAUGUGAAAAGCUGCAGUUAGGUCCAACAGAACAAAAAUUACAUGAUCACCAGAGUCAUUCACUGGGAGGAUGUCAUCAAAAACUGAAAUUGACACGGUGCUGUGAAGAGUUUCAAAGCCAGACUGAAAGACCUCCUGGGGCCUCAUUUAUAAAACCUGGCGUAGGAUCCAUACUAAAAGUGUACGUAAGUUGAAAAGCUGAAAAGUGCGUAGGCAAAAAAAAAAUCGGAUUUAUAAAACCCUGCCUACGCACACCUGCACGCACUUUCCCUUUAUAAAUCACAGACCAGCCGGAAAGUUGCGCAGCAGGGAUUUGAUUCAUGCCCCGCCCUCUCCACACCCAAAAUUCACCAUGUAUGGUCAUGCAAAUUACCUCAUGAAUGUGGUUUGCAUAUAAAUAAGCCUGAUGGAUCCACGGCAUUUCACGCUUAACUAUGGCAUCAGCAAGUCGUAGAAAAAGAAACUUUUCAGAGACCGAGGUGGAGGUUCUUGAAAUUGAGGUGGCGGCGAGACGGGAGACCUUAUUCGGCGGCCAUUCGAGUGGCAUCACCAAUAAAAACGCUGUUGCCGUGGCGGUAAUUGCGGCUGGCAGCGUUGCCGAAACAGUGUUGUUUUCGUCAAAUAUUUUCACAUAAAGCAAACUUUCUACACCGCCACAGUGGGGUCUGUGCUUUCUGCGAGCAUCACUGCCUGGUACAGCAGCUGCAGCUCUCAGGAGAGAGACGCCCUGCAUCGAGUCAUCCGUCGUGCUGAACGCAUCACCCGGACUGCACUGCCCGGCCUCCAGGACAUCUACACCCAGCAGUGCAGGUCCAGGGCAAGACGGAUUAUCAAACACUCUCCAUCUGAACCACAGACUGUUUGAGUGGCUGCCCUCAGGUAAGAGGCUUCGCUCCAUCAGAGCCAGGACUGACAGGCUGAAAAGGAGCUUCUCCCCCCAGGCCACUCGGAUCCUGAACUCCUCAUAACACACACCCCAUAACUGACUUCUCAACACCCUCUGAACAGACUUUACAUUAUUAUUAUGAUGUUUUUUUUGGCACAAUCGCAGACGUCACUUUCAUUUCACUGCCACUGUACCUGUACAUUUAGGCAUGUGACAAAUAAAACUUGAAACUUGUGCUGCAUUGCGCACGACUGUCACUGUAUGGCUUUUUAUACACGCGCUUUCCAUUAACCAAUUGUUCUCACCUUGCAUAGAUUGUCUCCAAAAAGUGCGUAAGCAAGGUGUGGAGUUUGCUUAAAGUUGCGCACAUUCCUACACUAGUUUUUCUUUUAUAAAUCCCAACUCUUGCGUAAGAAGUGGCGUAAGCACUUUCUAGCCAGGUUUUGUGCGUAAGCAAGCUUUAUAAAUGAGGCCCCUGGACAGCAAGCUCAUCCAGAAAUAACUUCAACUGAACAUGAACAGCUUUCUCUAAAAUUUUAGAAAUAAGAGGGAGCUUGGAGAUGGGCCUAAAAUUGGUCAGCACGCUGCUAUCAAGGCCAGGUUUCUUAAGUUAAGGCUGUACCUCUGCAUUUUUAAAGCUUAGGGGAACAACACCAGAAGACAGACUGCUGUUAAUGAUAACCAGAAGCAACUGCCCUAUUCUAGGGAAAACCUCUUGAAAAAGUCUAGGAGGGACAGCAUCACAGGGAUAACCUGAUGGCUUAAUAUGACCAACCAGAUCUUCUUAUCAAGCGCUGCAGAACAAGUAACAGGGUCAGAUGCAGAGAGACCUUGCAGUAGCAACCUUAUCAUGACUGAGUAGGAAUCAGUCAAACUCAGCAGACUCAGGUGGAAACUUUGAGGGAUCUUACCUGGUCAGAACACACCACCACACUGUCACUUCUGAGUCUCUGCCUGAUGUGGGGACCUCUCCAUGUAGGGUAAUCGGGUGUGUCCAACACUGGCUCCUCUCUGCAGCACAUGUGAAAAUAAACCAAAUCACGAAGACUUCCAUUAGCCAGAUCAUAGCCUUUCCUCCAACCAGACAAUGAUCACAGUCUCUUGAAGUGAGAAAGGAAAGGAGAGGAUGAGGAAGCGCUUCAUCACCAAGUCAAUUGGAUGAUAAAUAAAAGACACUUGGUUUGAGAUUUUUAUAAUCCAACUACACUUUAAUAUACUUUUGAUGUGCCGUAUUCUUGAAACAAACUUUAACUGUUUGUCACUGACUCCUUUUAUUCAGAGAUAAAUGUCACUGUGGCUGCUGGAUUCUUGGAUGAAAGCCUUGUUUCUCUGAGCUUGUUUUUGCUGUAACUACAUGUAAAAAUAAAAAUAAUGAACCCUCAGUUUCUUACUUCUCUCUAAUAAUAUAUAUACGUAUAUACACACACACACACACACACACACACACACACACACACACAUAUAUAUAUAUAUAUAUAUAUAUAUAUAUAUAUAGUAAUUGGUGUACAACUAGUUUUAGAUGGGGUUUUUUCCCAUUAUGUAAUGUGCUGCACAUUUCUUUUGGUGCCAAUAAGUGUUUCCUUAUUGAUUAGGUCAGUGUUUAUUUGUCUGAUUGUUAAUGUGACAGUGCAACACUUACCAAAUACACCAAAUCUGACCAAGCAGCUGGAGUAAUGUUUCAACAGUUAAAUACUCUGGAAAUGAACUCAUUCAAACUUUAUCCUGAGACACGAAUGAGAAAUUAAGACCACAGAUAUAAGUUAAUGUUAAACCAAGUGCUCAAAAAGAAAUCCCUGUGAGAGAAUAAUCUCAAACUUAAUGGAAAAUAUCAGUGAAAUCUGUUUUUUUUUAUUAAUUCUCUACGUCAGAUGUUUUAGCUUUUUAUUUCUUCAUCAACAGAGGACAUCAUGUCUGAACAAAUCUGUAACCACCAGAAAAACACCAGAAUUAUAGUAUGACAGAAUUAAGUCUGUAUUUUUAGGCUCUUCAACAUCAGAUAGAGAAAGGUCUUAGUCUUAAAAUAAUUUAUGUUCUUUUUAUUGCAAGAAAUGUGAAUCAAAAAAAAGAAUUUAAUGGUUAUGAGAGUGGAGUGCUUUAAGUGGAGUUACACAAAUAAGACUAUCAGAGUAAAUAUGAAUCCAGAAAACUUUUAAUAAACUUUAAAUCAAGAGUGAAGUGUGAAAACACUUAAAGGCACAACAAAGGUCAAAAAGGUUAAAUAAUCAAUCAUAAAUCAAUAAACAGCUGAGGAAAUUGAAACUUUGAAAGCAAAAGCAGUCAAAGGCAAUGAAUGCAAAAAUUUAAAUCUGGAACGGUCUGAAUAAUAUUAGUCUGUCAUUGAAGUAUUCAAUGAUUUAUUAUUAUUAUUAUUAUUUUACAUAAAGAAAAGAAGAUAAACCCCCAAAACUGAAUAUUGACAGUAAAUAGACAAGGUUUUAGUUGAAAAAUCAAAGGAACUUGAUAAACUUGAACCGAAAUAAAUAAGCAUAUGUCAUAACCUGACAAAUUACCCUAAUCUUAAUUGUAAUUUUAACUGAUUUGUUAUUCAAGGAUUGUGAAAGUUUAAAUUUCUUUCUGUUUAUUACUGGACUUUUAAUGUCUUGAAUGACCUUUUGCAAGACUGCACAUGUUUUAUUGCAUUAUGUAUUGUAUUGUAUUGUAUUGUAUUCUAUUGUAUUGUUUGUUUUAUUUGUGGACCCCAGGAAGAGUAGCUGCUACUCUGGUGGCAGCUAAUGGGGAUCCGUAUGAAUAAAGAAAGAAUAAAGAAUAAAGAAUCACACAGAGAUUUUUGUACAUUUAUAAAGGCCCCCUUGGUACCUUAAAUACCUUGUUAGAUGUAUUAUCAGUAACAUAAGUCAUAAAGCAUCUUCAUGUUUGGUUAGUUCUAAACCUUUUUGGUCCAUUUAUACCAGACCAAAUAAUCCUCAAAAUAAAGGUGAAAGUAUCUACAUAUACUGUAAACUUUGCUUUUUAUAAUUACAUUAAUCACUUAGUUUUAUCCCCUCUAGAAAGCGUACACACAAACGCACAUGCUGACGUGUUUUUGAAAGUUUGAAAGUGAAGCUCAGUUAUUUGAUCCUAAACCCAAUUAUUAAAAAUUAACAAUUUUAAAAGCAGAACUGAGUCAAAUCUUUAUCCAAAAUGAAUAAAACCAUAUAAUUUUAAGGAAGGUGUAGGCUUUUAUUGGUUUAUUGUAACCCAGAAGCAGCAGUGAUAGUCUGCAGUAGUAGAAGAUCGCAACUGUGGUAACAGCAGCUGAAUUUUACCUGUGUUUGCAGUGAUGAAGAACAGGGACUCAGGGGGUCAUCCAUCAUCUCGAUCAGGCAUUAGUGAGUCCCUGCCCCUCACCCGCUAUAUCGCUCUGAGCCGGACUAAAUAGACAAUUAACAAAGGGGCGUUUGUCAUUCAUCAAAAACAAACAUCAUUGUCAAAAACACAUUACCAGCAGAUAGGAAAAGAAUGUGGUUGACCACAUGGUGUGUGAUAAUAAAAAAUGCUCGGAUGAAUAAGUAAUAUGACCUCUAUGAGUGUGUUACACUUCAAUUAUUAAACUAUUUAUUCAAUGGGUGACAAGUGUUUAAAUCCUCACUCCCUGCCGCUGCGCUGGGACACUUUUCCUCUCUCCCAGUACACUGAACUUGGCUUGAGCCCACUUCAUGGGCACCAGCCAGUUUCAAAUACUGUAAAUUCCAACAUAUUGUUGGUAUCUAUGUAGGCAUCUGAUUGUGUCAUUUGACUGACCACGGAGCUGGUUAUAUUACUGUGUGUGUGUGCGUGUGCGUGCGUGCGUGUCAGUCCUGAAUAUUCUGUUUUCUUUUAGCCUACCAAUACACUGUAAUUCCAUUGUUGUUGGUAACAUGGGGCAAGUGUGAAAGUGUCUGUCAAAAUCGAGUUAGUAUAGUAGUUAAAAAUCAUUUUAUGUGUUUUUCUUUAUAAAUUAAAAAAAAAAAAAAUUUUCGAGCUCGCACCCUUGCAGCGCUCACAUAAGGUUGACACAUGACAGCAUGAUCAAAGUAAAAGGUCAUCACUUGCUGCUGGUGGACUACCCUAUGCUCUCUUUUCAUUUGCACGAUAUAAACUAAACAGCACCCAGAGAGAGGUCACACACACACACACACACACACACACACACACACACACACACACACACACACACACACACACACACGCGCACACACACACACACACACACACACACACACUCACAGAUGAAUUUACAGGUCAAGUGUCAAAGGUCAUAUUGUGUCUGGAGAAGAUUUUUGGCUGUUUGAUCUCAAACACACACAAGCACACACACACGUUUCAGUUGCAGUGUGUGGUCUGUAUAAAAAAACAUUUUUUUGAAAAUGAUCAUUUCUUGUAUUGAAUUCAUAUUUCUAGGUUGAUGGAAAUGUGUCAGCCAGGCCAGCAUCACUGUCAGGGCUCUGUACCUAAUAUUUUACUUUAUUUUUGUCUGUGUUUAUUGGGAAAUCAUUCUGUGGUGAAAUUAACCUAAAGUCACAUUUUGUCUAAUUAUACACACAUUGGCCCUCAUUUAUCAAUCUUGCGCAGAACUGAGCGCAGAUCUGAGCGCAGGAUUUAUAGUACGAUAGGACACACAUGAGAUUUAUGAAAGGGUUGUAUCUGACCAAUCCCAGCGUACAUAUGAUCCGGUCUUGAUAAAUGCGGCGGCUGAAAUCCAUCGUCAUUAACAUGUCACGCCCUUAAUUAUUCGUGGCUCACAAGCCUCACCCACUGAGGUCAAACAUGAAGGAGGAGAAAUAUUAGGAAGAUUCGAAACUUUUCCGGGCUGAAAGCAGAUGUCCUCACGUCUGUGGUGGAAACUAACAAGGAUUUGCUCUUUGGUAAUUUGAAAAAAUCAUUAGUCAAUAAGUUGCUCAUGAUGAUAAAUUAAUAUCUCAUACAUACCUCAUAUUUUUAUUGCCAUGGCAUAGGGUACGUUGCUCCUAUCAUUGAAAGUAUUUAGUUUUAAUUUGUUGCGUCUUUGUAAUGUAGAGCAGACUGGAAAGUCUGACAAAGGCUGAACAAAAAUAAUUAUUAAUGUCACUAAUGGUGUGUUGCUGCCCCUGAGGCACAUUUUUAUGGAUUUCUAUUGGACUUUUAUCACUGAUAAAAUAGCAAGAGCACUUUCUAAACUUAUACUUUACAUGUCAGAAUCCAUCGAUAAGAUCCUGUCUCCUCUGUACAGCACCUUUGUGGAGUCUCUCCUCGUUAUUGUUCUCCAGGCAUCGGGUCCUCACAUUGCACCGGAACAGCCAACGGCACUCCAUUCGCCAGUGCAACAUUGUGCAAAACUGUACUGCCCCAAAUGAUGUCCCAAACCCUUUCAGGAGUGUACAACAAUGUCCCCGCUGCUGGGCCAAGACAGAGCUACCUGCCUUUUCGUAGUCCAAUGCAGUGCUCCACAGUGGCGUGUGUGCAAUGUGCAUGUGUGCGCAGUGUUAAAACGGCAUUCCUGCUCUGUGGCAGUGUUUCUGGGCAGAGUUAAAUAGGCCUAUUCACUAAGGACAUGACAAAUUUCUUUGAUUUAUUUUAUUUACGUCUUAAUUUCUAUAAUGAAAUCUGGCUGAUUGUGCUUAACCCUGUAAAACCCAAAUAUAGAAAAACGCAAAAAAAAAUAAAAAUAAAAAAAAAUUCAACCAUUCAGAUGUUGUUGUAGGAGGCCUUUGGGGGUGAAAAUUGAGUGUUUUCAAAAAUGUUAUGUUUUAUUAAGUUUUUACGGAAAUAUUGUGAUAUUGCAAUUUUGGGCUUAAUGGGGAGCAGAAUCUCCUGUAUUUCCACUCAUUGUCUGAACGGCAAUACAGAACUAAGGAUUCAUUUGGAGGGUUUGCUGUUCCCAAACCAGUAUAUAACAUGAAUAAUAAUCUCAGUCAUGUUGUUAUAAAGAGUAAUUUAUUCCAACAAGAACUUUGACAUUAAUUUACAUUAUUUACAUUAUGAGCAGUUCUUGUCCUCUGAAAAACAGGCAGAUAUCCAACCCAGUCUCAGAGUUCUCUCUGAGUGAAUCAAGCCAUUGUCUGAGUUUCCAGAGUUUGUCCCUCUUUUAAGUCUCUGACACUGUCAAAUUGUUUACAAAAUGUAAUGUGAACAGCGAUUGGAAUCUGUUGCGUUUUGGACAAUGGCAACUACAUCCUGCACACUGUACCGAGGAUCUCUCCUUGCUGGUGGCAUUCUGAAAUGGAAAAAAUAAAAUUGUAAUAAAUGUAUAUACAAAUAACACACAUGCUUACUAGAUUCUAGAUGGCCAACAGAAAAGAUGGGGUGAUGGGGAGACUGAUAUCAUUAUGAAGUGUUUACACAUUGCACUGAAGUAGCCUGUUCACACAUUUCACUGGUCACACAAUAUUGACCUAUUGACCUAUUGGAGACUGUGAUUAUCAUCUUAAUGGGAAUGCAUGUAGCCUCCAGCUUACAACCACACCUUACAUCCAUGAACAUUAACACCUGUUCCAGAACAAUGCCACAAAUGCACUAGGAACAUCCCUGUUUUGACUAUGAAUUGCUAGGAACAUUUUUUUAUCAAUAGAGACUAAGACAGUGUGUUUAUCAUCCCAAUAAGAUUGCAUGUAGCCUCCGGUUUACAACCACACCUACAUCCAUGAACAUUAACACCUGUUCCAGAACAAUCUAUAUAGAUCUAAAUGUAUGUGCUGACUCAGAUUAUUAGUUGUUGAUGAUUAUUUAUUGCACUGAAAUGUGCCUGACACUGUGGAAACCUGACACUAUGGAAACCUGCCACUGAGGCAUCAGUGACGUAUGCCGAUAUGCCGCCGGUCUACCAAAAUACUACUAGACCAGCUGCGCUCUGCCUGCUCUGGAAGCUGACCAGGUUUGAAUUGGCAAGCUUUGAGCGCACUUUACACGCCACCGGCGAGCACGAAAAUGUCACUGCGGCAGCUGAUUCUGUUGACACCUCCCUCUGCCUCGCCACCACGCCCAGCUUGGCGGACCUCGGUGUGCCUCAGUCCACGAAAAUACCAAACUGGCUGUACGCCAGGCUCCGCCAGACGAAAAUUUCACUUCGCUGGGUCCACCCCCCUCCGCCGCCUCACCGGCGGACACGAAAAUAGAGCUCCAUAUGUUCAUGUUCUAGACAUUGUAAUAAACACAAAAAAAAAUAUUCAAAGCAUUUUACCUACUUGAAUCAGAUUAAUCCAGUCCAGUUAAUCGAAGGGAUGUUGCUCGAUCAAAAAAAUGGAGGUUGUGUGAUUUCUUCACCUGAGGGUGGGUCUUAUAUACAAAUGUUGGAUCAAAUCGCAUUGUGAGAACGAACAAUAUGACCCAAUGAUCAUGUUAAUGUGGUUGAACUCAAGUUGCAACUUACGUAUGCAAGGUGUCCAUAAGUUUUCUGCCAUAAGCAAACUUGAUAAAUCACAGUCAUCACAGUCCAAGGCACUGCUAAUCAAUAGGUAAUUCCAGAUUCGAUCUGUGAGUCCAUGACAGCCAGGACUUUGUAGGGGCCCUUCCAGUGUGGAGAAAGCUACAUGGGGUCCUCUGUGGGGUUGUGAAGCCACAUAAGAUCUCCUACAGCAUAAGGCCAGUGCCUCACAGCCCUGUCAUAGUGCAGUUUCUGGUUCUCAUGAGCGUGGGCACCAAACAGACUUGCACCACAAAAACCUGGCACCAGUACAUCUACUGGAACAUGCGCUUGCCGCCCAUAAACCAAGAAAUAGGGAGUGUAGCUGGUAUUGGAAAGGACUGACGUGUUGUAUGCAAAGCCAAGGCCAUAUGUUUUCAGAAAAUAGUCCCACUCCCCCCUCCACAGGUCAAGAGGGCUUUACCUGGGAUUCCACAGGAUCCAGAACAGCCCCAUUCCGCUAUGAACUGUCAAGCGGAUCAAAUACGCAAGCAUAUAGCAUCCACCGAGUCCAAUCUGCCGCCGCCAUCAGAGGAGAUACGCUCACUAUAUCACCUAUAUUUCUUGCAAGACAGGGAAUAUAGGUAAUAUUGGGGAAUAUAGGACGGGGAAUAUAGGUAAUAUCACGAGCAAUGUCUCACGGGUGCAGUUUGCCAUGGGUAAAAUCCAGAAGAGCAUGAUUUGCAAUCAAGAAAUCCAGGCCCAGCAAGGCUGCUUGUGCUGACCCCUGAGUACAUGGAAAACAUGUUGCCAGGGUUCGUUACCAAGAUGUAAGGUCGCAGUUAUGGUACCUAAAGCAUCCAACCUUUCCCCAUUGACAACCAGUGCAGAAAUAAGCUCAGCACUCAGUGGUUGCCUGCGAAGUGCUGAGACUGACGUGGAGAUCGGCACUUAUAAAUGACUCUGUUGAACUCAAACCCACCAAUAUGGUCAUUUCAGUCUCUUUAAUGUUUUCUCUGACAUAUGAGGUGCACUUCUGUUUAUUCAUCUGGCCCAUGAGUGCAGUAGCUGAUGUUUGGGCAGUGACAUCAGCUACAACCCUUUUCCCGGCUGGUUAGCCAGGUCCUCUCUUUUGAGGAAAUAAAACUUUACCUCUCGUUUCCUCUGAGACUCGUCGUUAAAGGGGCUUGUAGGUGGUUUAGGGCUCCACCAGGUUGGAGAGCUGGAUUGGCUGUCAAAGAGCACCCUCUGCUGUCCCUCCUUGAAACUCCCUUCUCUCUCAUGCCAGUGACCAUUUCACAAUGGCAAGCUAUAAUCAGGGCCUCAUUUAUGUCCGUAGAUCCUUUAUGUAGCACUUUGCUCUCAGGGUUGGGUGAAGCCCCACCAGAAAUCUAUGAAAUUUCUCCUCUCUCUGAGCUAGCUACCCAUAACCUGGAAAUGCCUUGUGAACCAGCUUGCUAAUGUCUGCUGUGUAGACUUCCAAAUUCGUACAAGGAGCAUGGGAUGUUUGGCAAGGUUGGAUCUAAAGCGGUCCAGAAAGGGUUAUUGUCCAAAAGCAGCCGAUAAUUUCUCUUUAACUGCUCUGUACUCUCCCUGCACAGCCGCUCGGAGGCUAUUCCAUACAAGGCAAGCAACUUUCGUCAGUCAUGUUGGUAAAAUCCUUGCCAGCUCAUAAUUAAAUUCACUGUCAUUGCCACUUCAUACUGUCAAGCCCAGCAGGGGAAACUUAUCUGAUCCUUUCCAGUGAAGGUGGAAGUUCAACCUUCACAUUGCUGGUAAACAGUCUUUCCUGACCUGGUCUUGUGUAGUCCAAGGGGUCCUCAAAGUAUUUCCACAUCCUGAUGUUUUAGAUCUCCUCUUAUUUAUAUUUUUUUACUGCAACCUUUAGUAGAGCGGUGGGGGCCAGGCAAAUCUUCAAUAGACACAGCACAGAUCUUUUUUUUUCUCCAAUACUUUGCUGCAAGCUAUUAAUUGUUUAGAUUGUUUUACAGAGCCCACAUAAAACCACAGACAACUUUUUUUUAGCCGUUUUAACACUGAAACUAUGUCAGAUUAAUCUUCAUAUCCAUUUUUGAAUCCUAAUCCAACCAGGUUUACAAAGCAUUGAGAGGACAGCCCUCAGAAUUCUGGCAUUUCCCUAAUGUUUUGUUCAGUCCUCACUAGUAAGAACGUUCAUCUCUAGAGUAUAUUUUCAUAAACAUGAGGAAAACCUGCUGCUUGAAUGGUUUUUAGACUAUUAUGAUUAAAACAACAGGACUGUAGUCCUAUUCUUUUUUUUUUUUCUCCUUUCUAUACUUUUCCAAACCUACCUGGAAACAAUUCACAUCAAAUUCCAUUUCAGUCAUACUAAAAAGGAACCAGAACAAAUACUGGAAAUAACAAUAACAAUUAACAAUAAAUUAUACCUGCCAACAUUUGGGUUAUAAAAUCCAGGAGAUUUUUGUGGCGCGUGCCGGGCAGUUUUGGGGUUACCUUAUAUGGUUGAUAUGAGCUUAUUAUGAAAGUAUUUGUAAUUGGAUUGUGCAUCCUAAUAAGUAAAAGUGAAGCUGCACACUUUUUUGUUUUGUUUUAACAUAACAAAUGGUAACAAAAAAAUAAUAAUGUCAGGCACAUUUCAGUGCAAUAAAUAAUCAUCAACAACCACUAUUCAGUGCAACUAUCUGAAUCAGCACAUAUAUUUAGCUCUAUAUCGAUAUAUUCUGAUCUAUAUCUUAUCUGAUGAGCGCAUUUGGCAUGCGUUUGGAUACUCCACCUGACUAAAUUAACAUAGCUGAAACCGCAUUAAAUUAAAUAUCCAGUAAACAGUCACACAUGAUGAUGUUAACAAGAUAUUUAAUUCGUCUCUCCACCUAUCCUCAUUCUUCCUCACGCAGCUCGAUAGGUGUUGUGCCGUAGAAUGCACCCCUGCUUCUUAAAGUGGAAGAAAAUGAUCUCAAAUAAAAAUUAAAAAAAAAAAAAAAAA